rnacentral:rRNA from 1 species
AUCAUGGCUCAGGAUGAACGCUAGCUACAGGCUUUAACACAUGCAAGUCGAGGGGCAGCGCAGUGUAGCAAUACAUGGGCGGCGACCGGCGCACGGGUGCGUAACGCGUAUCCAACCUUCCCGUUACUCAGGGAUAGCCUUCCGAAAGGGAGAUUAAUACCUGAUGGUGUUGAAAUUCCGCAUGAGUUUUUAACCAAAGAUUUAUUGGUAAUGGAUGGGGAUGCGUGACAUUAGGUAGUAGGUGAGGUAACGGCUCACCUAGCCGACAAUGUCUAGGGGUUCUGAGAGGAAGGUCCCCCACACUGGAACUGAGACACGGUCCAGACUCCUACGGGAGGCAGCAGUGAGGAAUAUUGGUCAAUGGUCUGACGACUGAACCAGCCAUGCCGCGUGAAGGUCACGGCCCUAUGGGUCUUAAACUUCUUUUGUAAGGGAGCAAUAAGUCUCACGUGUGGGAUGAUGAGAGUACCUUACGAAUAAGCAUCGGCUAACUCCGUG